UUAGCUCAGUUGGUUAGAGCAUCUGACUGUUAAUCAGAGGGUCGCUGGUUCAAGUCCA
rnacentral:tRNA from 1 species